rnacentral:lncRNA from 1 species
AAAGAGAGUUAAACCUGGGAAUGAAAGAGCAGAUGAGAAAGCAGCUGAUUCAAGAGUCUCGGAUUUCGGUUCAAGGCAAUGUUAAUUGCUAGAAUGAAUUCCCGAUAGCUUUGAAGGGCGAGGUUGUAUAAAAAUUAGCGAGGCAAUGAAAUAGCUCUACCCUCAUUUCCUGGGGAUGAGCUACUCUUGUGUUGACUUACAGUGCUAUAGAGUUCUUUCUAGGGUUCCUGUAGCUGUUGAGUUAGUCUUCUUAUAGUGCUUCCUCUUGUUAGUAGUUCCAGAGUUCUGAGUUC